GCCCUUACACAUGCAAGUCGAGCGAGAAAGUUUCUUCGGAAACGAGUAAAGCGGCGGACGGGUGAGUAACGCGUAGGAAUCUACCAUUCAGUGGGGGAUAGCUCGGGGAAACCCGAAUUAAUACCGCAUAUACCCUAAGGGGGAAAGAGGGCCUAUCCUUGGAAGCUCUUGCUGUUUGAUGAGCCUGCGUGAGAUUAGUUUGUUGGUGAGGUAAUGGCUCACCAAGGCUACGAUCUCUAGCUGGUCUGAGAGGACGAUCAGCCACACUGGGACUGAGACACGGCCCAGACUCCUACGGGAGGCAGCAGUGGGGAAUAUUGGACAAUGGGGGCAACCCUGAUCCAGGCAUGCCGCGUGUGUGAAGAAGGCCUUCGGGUUGUAAAGCACUUUAGGUAAGGAAGAAAAGUCAUUGGUUAAUACCCAAUGACCAUGACAUUACUUACAGAAUAAGGACCGGCUAACUCCGUGCCAGCAGCCGCGGUAAUACGGAGGGUCCAAGCGUUAAUCGGAAUUACUGGGCGUAAAGCGCGCGUAGGCGGUUUGACAAGUUGGGUGUGAAAUCCCCGGGCUUAACCUGGGAACUGCAUUCAAAACUUUUAAACUGGAGUACGGGAGAGGAGAGUAGAAUUCAUGGUGUAGCGGUGAAAUGCGUAGAUAUCAUGAGGAAUACCAAUGGCGAAGGCAACUCUCUGGACCGUAACUGACGCUGAGGUGCGAAAGCGUGGGUAGCAAACAGGAUUAGAUACCCUGGUAGUCCACGCCGUAAACGAUGACAACUAGCCGUUGGACCUUCGGGUUCAGUGGCACAGCUAACGCAUUAAGUUGUCCGCCUGGGGAGUACG
rnacentral:rRNA from 1 species